AUUAGAGUUUGAUCCUGGCUCAGGAUGAACGCUGGCGGUAUGCCUAACACAUGCAAGUCGUACGAGGGUUUUUAACUCUAGUGGCGGACGGGUGAGUAACACGUGAGAAUUUGCCUUUAGGAGGGGGAUAACAAUCGGAAACGAAUGCUAAUACCCCAUAUGCUUUUGAGUGAAACGGAUUUAUCCGCCUAAAGAGAAGCUCGCGGCUGAUUAGCUUGUUGGUAAGGUAAGAGCUUACCAAGGCGACGAUCAGUAUCUGGUUUGAGAGGACGAUCAGACACACUGGAACUGAGACACGGUCCAGACUCCUACGGGAGGCAGCAGUGGGGAAUUUUCCGCAAUGGGCGAAAGCCUGACGGAGCAAUACCGCGUGAGGGAAGACUGCCUGUGGGUUGUAAACCUCUUUUUUCAGGGAGGAAUAAAAUGACGUGUACCUGAAGAAUAAGCAUCGGCUAACUCCGUGCCAGCAGCCGCGGUAAUAAU
rnacentral:rRNA from 1 species